AUCCAGCUGACGAGUCUCAAAUAAGAUGAAACGGGCGUCCCGAAU
rnacentral:hammerhead_ribozyme from 1 species